UACGUAGGGGGCUAGCGUUGUCCGGAAUCAUUGGGCGUAAAGCGCGUGUAGGCGGCCCGGUAAGUCCGCUGUGAAAGUCGGGGGCUCAACCCUCGGAUGCCGGUGGAUACUGUCGGGCUAGAGUGCGGAAGAGGCGAGUGGAAUUCCUGGUGUAGCGGCGAAAUGCGCAGAUAUCAGGAGGAACACCAAUUGCGAAGGCAGCUCGCUGGGACGUGACUGACGCUGAGACGCGAAAGCGUGGGGAGCAAACAGG
rnacentral:rRNA from 1 species